rnacentral:misc_RNA from 1 species
GAGACAAGCAUAUGACUACUGGCAGGAUCAACCAGGUAGCAUUCCUUYGCGACGCCGACGCCCGCAUGAGACCCGGCAGGCCGUGAGGCCGCGGGCUCAAGACGGGCACGGCAGUCGUUCGUGUCGAUGGACAAAUGCGUUGCUUGGGCAAACGGAGCUAAUAAAUAGACCCCGCACCCGCACAUAACAUUCUGCAUCCGAGAGCACGGGCAAUGCGCCUCAUGGGCCGAGGCAGCGACGCAGCUGGGCGAAGCGUGCCGGGAACACGAGGCUUGCCUGAUGUCCACCCCAAAACCCGUGAGGGCAGGGGGCGGAAAGGGACUAACGGAACCAUCGGAUUCCUUUCGAUAGGUAAGCAACACAGGAUACCGAA